AAAGUCGUAACAAGGUUUCCGUAGGUGAACCUGCGGAAGGAUCAUUACCAUCCACCCAGCUGGGUUGUCCGAGAGCGGCUGCGUUGAGAGCACGGUAGAUAGUCUCACCUCUAAAAACAGGGGGAGGCCGGGGGCAUCGUUCCCCGGCCUCCCCCUGGCCGAAUCUUCUCGCAGCCGGGGAGGUUUCCCAGCUAGGCAUUGAAAAAUGCUUGCCCUUGAUUAUUGAAGAACUGUCGUUUCCUCGGCGAGCUCGCUCGCCAACGGGGACCCCAAACCAAACCCUUGCAGUAGCAUUCUAGUCUGAACAAAAACAAUCAAUUAAAACUUUCAACAACGGAUCUCUUGGUUCUG
rnacentral:misc_RNA from 1 species